rnacentral:misc_RNA from 1 species
UCCGGCUUGACGCCGGCAGUCCCCCGAGAGUCCUCAGCUUGACCUGUUAGUAACACGGGGCAAGGGUUGCGCUCGUUGCGGGACUUAACCCAACAUCUCACGACACGAGCCGACGACAGCCAUGCAGCACCUGUCUUACAGUUCCCGAAGGCACCCCACCAUCUCUGGUAGGUUCUGUAGAUGUCAAGGGCAGGUAAGGUUUUUCGCGUUGCAUCGAAUUGAACCACAUGCUCCACCGCUUGUGCGGGCCCCCGUCAAUUCCUUUGAGUUUUAACCUUGCGGCCGUACUCCCCAGGCGGUCAACUUCACGCGUUAGCUUCGUUACCAAGGAAUUGCUUCCCCGACAACCAGUUGACAUAGUUUAGGGCGUGGACUAC